AACGAACGCUGGCGGCAGGCCUAACACAUGCAAGUCGAGCGAGGACUUCGGUCCUAGCGGCGGACGGGUGAGUAACGCGUGGGAACGUGCCCUUUGCUUCGGAAUAGCCCUGGGAAACUGGGAGUAAUACCGGAUGAGCCCUUUGGGGGAAAGAUUUAUCGGCGAAGGAUCGGCCCGCGUUGGAUUAGGUAGUUGGUGGGGUAAUGGCCUACCAAGCCGACGAUCCAUAGCUGGUUUGAGAGGAUGAUCAGCCACACUGGGACUGAGACACGGCCCAGACUCCUACGGGAGGCAGCAGUGGGGAAUCUUAGACAAUGGGGGAAACCCUGAUCUAGCCAUGCCGCGGGAGCGAUGAAGGCCUUAGGGUUGUAAAGCUCUUUCAGCUGGGAAGAUAAUGACGGUACCAGCAGAAGAAGCCCCGGCUAACUCCGUG
rnacentral:rRNA from 1 species